GGGCGUUCUGAGUUAGUCCCAAUUUUUGGAGAAGCGCUGGGGCCUCCGAGAGUGAGGUGAGUUUUAGAACCUCUUCUCCGCUGAAUACCACCAGGGUUCUUGGCAACAGCCAUCUGUAUUCUACGUUCCCCUUCUGCAGUUGUUCCGUUAUGUUGCUCAAGGACUUUCUCCAGAGUAGGGUGCUCCGCGUGAUAUCUUGGAAGAAGGUAAGUUGUGAGGCUUCGAAGGCCAAGGGUGUCUUGUCUCUCACUGCUGCUAGUAUGCGGCGUUUGUCUGUCAUGGAAUGGCAGCGGACGAUGACGUCCCUUGGG